UACGUAGGGGGCAAGCGUUGUCCGGAAUCAUUGGGCGUAAAGCGCGCGUAGGCGGCCUCGUAAGUCCGUUGUGAGAGUCAAAGGCUCAACCUUUGAAAGCCGAUGGAUACUGUGAGGCUAGAGUCCGGAAGAGGCGAGUGGAAUUCCUGGUGUAGCGGUGGAAUGCGCAGAUAUCAGGAGGAACACCAAUAGCGAAGGCAGCUCGCUGGGACGGUACUGACGCUGAGGCGCGAAAGCGUGGGGAGCGAACAGG
rnacentral:rRNA from 1 species